rnacentral:rRNA from 1 species
AUUGAACGCUGGCGGCGUGCUUAACACAUGCAAGUCGAGCGGUAACAGGUGUAGCAAUACAUGCUGACGAGCGGCGGACGGGUGAGUAACGCUUGGGAAUCUGCCCUGAAGUGGGGAAUA